rnacentral:rRNA from 1 species
AGUGAACACUGGCGGUAGGCCUAACACAUGCAAGUCGAACGGCAGCACAGUAAGAGCUUGCUCUUACGGGUGGCGAGUGGCGGACGGGUGAGGAAUACAUCGGAAUCUACUUUUUCGUGGGGGAUAACGUAGGGAAACUUACGCUAAUACCGCAUACGACCUACGGGUGAAAGCAGGGGAUCUUCGGACCUUGCGCGAUUGAAUGAGCCGAUGUCGGAUUAGCUAGUUGGCGGGGUAAAGGCCCACCAAGGCGACGAUCCGUAGCUGGUCUGAGAGGAUGAUCAGCCACACUGGAACUGAGACACGGUCCAGACUCCUACGGGAGGCAGCAGUGGGCAAUAUUGGACAAUGGGCGCAAGCCUGAUCCAGCCAUACCGCGUGGGUGAAGAAGGCCUUCGGGUUGUAAAGCCCUUUUGUUGGGAAAGAAAAGCAGCAGGUUAAUACCCCGCUGUUCUGACGGUACCCAAAGAAUAAGCACCGGCUAACUUCGUG